CUAUUACUUUUUUUAAUUGUAAUUUACUUUAUAAUAAUUAAAUUAAUAGGAUAAUAUGAUUUAUAUGACGAUAUAGAAGGUGUUAAACAUUAAAAUUACUUUAAUUUCUCAGUCGAGUAGGCACGUUGACGACUUAUUCAUCGAUUUACGAGAUGGUCACAACCUUAUUUCAUUACUGGAAGUUCUAUCCGGAGAAUUAUUGCCGAGAGAGAGGGGUCGCAUGCGAUUCCACAUGCUACAAAAUGUUCAAACCGCCUUAGACUUCUUGAAAGGAAGAAAG